GGGAAAAUGCUGGUAAAAUUGAGACUGGGUGAUGUCCAACAAGUUGUUAGAAUAACAGAACCAUAUUUAUCGGACUUUUUGAAUGCAGCAUUUGCCAAAUUCGGUGUCCCAGCUGUAACAGAAGGUGUCAAAGUUGUUGACAGUUCAGGGACUGAGAUAGAUGAUGAUGUUUUUGAGGAAAUUGUGAAGGAUCCAUCCACUGGGGUUCUAACCAUCAAAUACGAAACAGAAUCUGUCUCCAUGGUAACCUCUCCAAAGUCCCAAUCAUCCGUUUGUUCAUCGGACUCAGACACAAUCAUCCUUGAAGACACUCCUACCAGAAAGCGUCAGAGGCUGAACUCUGAAGCUAUGCAACUGGUGAAAUCCAUUCUUACCAAGAAAUCAGGUGGAGACUAUAUAAUAAAUUAAUACAACCGAACUAAGUCCUUGACAGAUGAGAGCAGAAGAAAAUUGGUGAAUAUACUGGCAGCUGAGAUGACGGACAAGAAUGGUACAUCUCCAUCUAGAUAGGUGAAGGAAAUGUAUGCACAAGGAAUUGUGAACUUGUUCCCCAACCUCAGAGACCCAUUUUCCAAGAAUGGCUAUGAACAUUUUUAUGAUAGCAACAUUAGUACUGGGUACUUGGCCUGGAGAAUUAAAACUAUUCAGAGAUGCAGUGCUAAAGAAAGACGAUCAUCAUUUAAAGCUUUGGCGGAAGGACCAUCUGAUGAAGACAAGUCGGGAGGACCAACUGUUGGACGAGUUACCCAAUUCAUUCCAGAGAUUGUCCUGUCUGAAGAUGAGUACAAGGAAGCAAUGUCACUGAUGAAACAUUCGGCUGACGUGGACAUGGUCAUCAAAAAGAUGAAGCUGAAUAUUUGCCCAUCGGCAUAACAUGGUCCUGGACCCACAGCAGUCAAGCAACAUUCUAUCUUAUUUUCCUCGUUUUAAAGACAUCAAAGGCUUGGUUGAACAGGAUUUUGUUCUAAUGUUUGGAGAGGAUGUAUCGGGCAAGUUUCUGGAGAAGUGGCCAACCACAUUCAAAAAGAAGAUCAUCCAACAAUGCAGAAAGCUUCCCUCCAUCACUGAGCUUGAGGAACUCCUGAUGGCAGCUGACCCUCCUGAGGAUGGAGCGAGUGAACGUUGACUUUGGUAAGAUGUUUGUAAGGAUACAUUCAUUUAAAUGAGGAAGCAUGUUCAAAAUGCGGACUUACAACCAUACUUAGAACAACAUUCCAAAGUC